rnacentral:lncRNA from 1 species
CUUCAUGGCAAACAAAUUAAGACAGUUGUUUCUGUUUAUUUUCAUAGGCAUUAAAUGCAACUGUUGUGCAGUCCCAAAUCAGUCACCAGCAUAAAACUGAGCAAGAGCACCCAUUGCCAAAAGGAUCUGAAGCUCUAAAACACAUUCCUGUCUUGACAUUUGCCAAUAUUUGCAGGAACUUAUGGGCUAAUUCACAUAUAUAUGUGAGCUCCUUCUCCUGCUUUUUGC